rnacentral:lncRNA from 1 species
UGGUUAUCAGCUAUCAUAGAAUGGUGUCAAUGUGGUAUUGGCAUAUAUAUUCCAGAAUUUGAAAAAGGAUAUGGAUAUAGAGUGGGUGACUUUAUCAGUAUACUCAAUCGAGAUGGCCACAAUAAUAACCGCUCUUAGAUGGGUUGUAGAUACUAAGUUUGUGACAAUGUGGUAUUGGCAUAUAUAUGCCAGAAUUUGAAAAAGGAUAUGGAUAUAGAGUGGGUGACUUUAUCAGUAUACUCAAUCGAGAUGGCCACAAUAAUAACCGCUCUUAGAUGGGUUGUAGAUACUAAGUUUGUGACAAUGUGGUAUUGGCAUAUAUAUGCCAGAAUUUGAAAAAGGAUAUGGAUAUAGAGUGGGUGACUUUAUCAGUAUACUCAAUCGAGAUGGCCACAAUAAUAACCGCUCUUAGAUGGGUUGUAGAUACUAAGUUUUAUAACAGAUAAUUCAAUACGUGAAGAUUUGGUGAUAGAGGUAAAGCAUCUUCUUUUAAAUAUUAUAAGCCUUGGUUUAGUUAUUCAGUUCUGUUGGAUUCCAGCCCACCAUGGAAUAUAUGGCAAUGAAAUUGCUGAUAAAUUAGCUAAAAGAUACUAACCUAAUUAGAAGAAUUUAACCUUAAGUAUAUAUAUUUUUUUAUUUUAUUUUUUAUUUAUUCAUUUCUUUGUUAGUUUGUUUUAUUUUGUUUCGUUAGUUUUUUUUUUUUUUUUUACGAUUUAAAGUAUCAUUUGCCAACGUCCUUGUCACAAACUCCUGUGUAGUAGUCAAGUGGGUGGCGGUAUAUGGGGAAAAACUAUGAUCCACCACUAAACUAGAAGAAGAAGAAGAUCUCUGCAUCCGGUACGUCACGGAAUAGGUCACGUGUCUUGGCCCCAUAACGCGGAAGCAAAUCGCUCCUGUAUGUUACCAUGCGCCACUGAGCAGUUUGCAUAGGAAUGAAUGGGCGGCCAUUUUCCAGUCCGUGGUCCAUCCUUUAUUAUGUCCAUGGAUAAAACCCCGUUGGCUCCCAUUCAUUCUGGACUCGCCUACGAGCGCCCCGCGUGGUCAAAGAUUAUUACUGCAACCAGUCCAGAAAACCGGAACUAACCCGCGAGUGCCAGUUCUCCUCAUAUUAGACAUUCUCUGCUACGAAUAUUAGACAU